rnacentral:rRNA from 1 species
UACAGAGGGUGCAAGCGUUAAUCGGAAUUACUGGGCGUAAAGCGUGCGUAGACGGUUAUGUAAGUCAGAUGUGAAAGCCCCGGGCUUAACCUGGGAAUGGCAUUUGAGACUGCAUAGCUAGGGUGCGGAAGAGGGAAGCGGAAUUUCCGGUGUAGCGGUGAAAUGCGUAGAUAUCGGAAGGAACACCAGUGGCGAAAGCGGCUUCCUGGUCCAGCACCGACGUUCAGGCACGAAAGCGUGGGAGCAACGGG